rnacentral:tRNA from 1 species
GCUCAAGGAUAGCUCAGUCAGUAGAGCAUGGGACUCUUAAUCUCACGGUCACGGGUUCAAGCCUCAUGUUCAGCG